GCAGUCGAACGCACUAGUUUACUAGUGAGUGGCGAACGGGUGAGUAACACGUAGGUAACCAACCCAUUAGACGAGGAUAACCGAUGGAAACGUCGGCUAAUAUUGGAUAGGAGCUAUUGACAGAAGUUGAUAGUUUUAAAGGUAGCUUUCGGGCUAUGCUUUUGGAUGGGACUGCGUCGCAUUAGCUAGUUGGUGGGGUAAUGGCCUACCAAGGCAACGAUGCGUAGCUGGGCUGAGAGGCUGAACAGCCACACUGGGACUGAGACACGGCCCAGACUCCUACGGGAGGCAGCAGUAGGGAAUUUUCGGCAAUGGACGAAAGUCUGACCGAGCAAUGCCGCGUGAACGAAGAAGGUCUUCGGAUUGUAAAGUUCUGUUAUUUGGAAAGAAAGUGCUAAAUAGGAAAUGAUUUAGUAUUGACGGUACCGAAUGAGGAAGCCCCGGCUAACUAUGUGCCAGCAGCCGCGGUAAUACAUAGGGGGCAAGCGUUAUCCGGAAUUAUUGGGCGUAAAGCGUGCGUAGGCGGAAUGUUAAGUCAUUUGUAAAAGAUCUCAGCCCAACUGAGUAAGGCGAAUGAAACUGGCAAUCUUGAGUACGGUAGAGGUAAGUGGAAUUCCAAGUGUAGCGGUGGAAUGCGUAGAUAUUUGGAGGAACACCGAUGGCGAAGGCAGCUUACUGGGCCGGAACUGACGCUGAGGCACGAAAGCGUGGGUAGCAAACAGGAUUAGAUACCCUGGUAGUCCACGCCGUAAACGAUGAGAACUAAGUGUCGGGGUAACACUCGGUGCUGAAGUUAACGCAAUAAGUUCUCCGCCUGGGUAGUACGGUCGCAAGACUGAAACUCAAAGGAAUUGACGGGAACCCGCACAAGCGGUGGAGUAUGUUGUUUAAUUCGAGGAUACACGAAGAACCUUACCAGGUCUUGACAUACCAUUGACCGGUGUAGAGAUACACUUUUCCCUUCGGGGACAAUGGAUACAGGUGGUGCAUGGUUGUCGUCAGCUCGUGCCGUGAGGUGUUGGGUUAAGUCCCAUAACGAGCGCAACCCUUAUUGCUAGUUGCUAAUAUUAAGUUAAGGACUCUAGCGAGACUGCCAGCGACAAGCUGGAGGAAGGUGGGGAUGACGUCAAAUCAUCAUGCCCUUUAUGACCUGGGCUACAAACGUACUACAAUGGCUAAGAACAAAGAGCAGCGAAGUCGCGAGAUGGAGCGAAACUCAUAAAAUUAGUCUCAGUUCGGAUUGGAGUCUGCAACUCGACUCCAUGAAGUUGGAAUCGCUAGUAAUCGCGAGUCAGCAGAUCGCGGUGAAUACGUUCCCGGGUUUUGUACACACCGCCCGUCAAACCACGAGAGUU
rnacentral:rRNA from 1 species